CACAGACUGGCCAAGAUGCUUGGCUCAUAAAUAGCUGGUGUGUUCUCCGGAGCCAUCACCAUUGUCACGGCCUGGACAAUCACAGCACACAGCAUUUCAGGAGAGGAGGAUGACUGCCGGAAGGAAGAAGCUCCUGCUCACCCAGCAAAGGCCACCAGGGCCACAAUGGAGUAGGGGGCCCAGGAGACUAUGAAGAGAAGGAUGACCAGCAGCGCGAUCUUGGCCACCUUCCACUCACUCUGCAUCCUCUGCCACUGCCGCCGCCGUCGUGGGGACUCGCCACAGCCCUCACAGGCCCUGGGAAGGGAAACCAGGCCCGAGCCUUCUCUGCCCUGUCUACCAUCCACAUCGGACUGAGGCUGGCAGAGGACUCCGGACUAGAACCUGAUCUUCCCUUCUCACUCACUCAUGGAAUUGAGGGCAGCUGCUCACUCUUUACCCAGGAGGAAUGGAAUCGCCUCUUCUGGGUCACCCUGCCCAGUGGGCAACCCCAUGCCAAACCCCUCCCCCUCCCUCCAGCCAAAGGGAGCCCCCAGGUGUCUACCUGCCUCCCCAAAGAGCCACCGCUUAUAGAGACUGCUGGCGAAGAAGAUGGGGGCCUGGGUGAAGGACAUGAGGAAGUCACUGACAGCAAGGUUGAUAAUAAACAUGUUGGCAGGUG